AUUGAACGCUGGCGGCGUGCUUAACACAUGCAAGUCGAUCGGUAACGCGGGGGCAACCCUGGCGACGAGAGGCGGACGGGUGAGGAACGCUUGGGAAUCUGCCUAUCAGCGGGGGACAACACGGGGAAACUCGUGCUAAUACCGCAUACGCUCUACGGAGGAAAGCCGGGGACCGCAAGGCCUGGCACUGAUAGAUGAGCCCAAGCCGGAUUAGCUAGUUGGCGGGGUAACGGCCCACCAAGGCGACGAUCCGUAGCUGGUCUGAGAGGACGAUCAGCCACACUGGGACUGAGACACGGCCGAGACUCAGACGGGAGGCAGCAGUGGGGAAUAUUGGACAAUGGGGGAAACCCUGAUCCAGCGACGCCGCGUGGGUGAAGAAGGCCUGCGGGUUGUAAAGCCCUUUCGGUAGGGACGAAAGCUCUCGACCUAACACGUCGGGAGGUUGACUUAACCUACAGAAGAAGCACCGGCUAACUCUGUGCCAGCAGCCGCCGUAACAC
rnacentral:rRNA from 1 species